rnacentral:rRNA from 1 species
GUGCAGCAGUCGAGAAUUUUUCUCAAUGGGGGCAACCCUGAAGGAGCGACGCCGCGUGGAGGAUGAAGGCUUUCGGGUUGUAAACUCCUGUCAUUUGAGAACAAGUGUGAGCAAGUAACUACUGCUCAUUUGAUAGUAUCAGAAGAGGAAGGGACGGCUAACUCUGUGCCAGCAGCCGCGGUAAUACAGAGGUCCCAAGCGUUGUUCGGAUUCAUUGGGCGUAAAGGGUGCGUAGGUGGCGCCGUAAGUGGGGUGUGAAAUCUCGGAGCUUAACUCCGAAACUGCAUUCCAUACUGCGGUGCUUGAGGACUGGAGAGGAGACUGGAAUUCAUGGUGUAGCAGUGAAAUGCGUAGAGAUCAUGAGGAAGACCAGUGGCGAAGGCGGGUCUCGUGGACAGUUCCUGACACUGAGGCACGAAGGCUAGGGGAG